GAGACGUCAUUCCCACACGAUAAAUUAAUGCUGUUAUGGCGUUGUCUGCGUUAGUAGACUCAGCAAGUCUAUCAAGACGGAGGCGCAUCUUCGUCAUAUUCUCGAAUAGGAAACGCGCGUCGUUAAACUGUAGUGGGAAACGAAGCGGCCCAAGGAAAACGGGAAACGACAAUGAAAUUUCUAUCAAGAAUCAGCAUCGUCGUUAUGAAACGAAUAAGCCAACCAGCGACAACAUCACUGCCAUUGUGGAACGCAGCCUCGAGCACUGGUACGACCAAUCAUUUCGUCUACCGAGAAGAGUAGAUCGACGUAUUCGGGCAAUGAACUUUUGACUAAACAAAGAAAAUUUAAAAAAAAGAACAAGAAAAUAAAAAGGGAAAAAAAUGAAUAAAAGAAUGAAAACAAAGCUUCGCACUGCCAUUCGGAUGAUAUCGGCUACCUAGUCGUUUCUUCUCCAUUCUAUUCGACAGGAGGAACACUGCUCAUGCACUUACGCGCACGCUCGAUCACUCAUCAACGAGGAGACCAUCCACGUGCUUCUAGCGGACGUGGCAUUAAGGAUCGACAUGUGUUACUAUCCUUUUUUCUCUUUAUAUUAUUAUUAUUAUUAUUAUUAUUAUUAUUAUUAUUAUCAUUAUUAUCAUUAUUAUCAUUAUUAUCAUUAUUAUCAUUAUUAUUAUCAUUAUUAUUAUCAUUAUUAUUAUUAUUUUUAUUAUUUUUAUUAUUUUUAUUUUUAUUUUUAUUAUUAUUAUUAUUAUUAUUAUUAUUAUUUAAAUUAUAGAGGAUACCUCGUAAGUACUAUUCGUUGUAUACGUUUUACAAUUAGUCGUAUUAUUAGGCGAGGUCGUAUCUCUCCUAGUAGAUACGGAGGAGGAGAAAUGCCGCGAGUUACGUGCGAUGCUUUUAUUAACCUGCAACCAAGAAGAUGCCGGGUGUGAAGCCUCGUCCUUAACCUUUUCCCUGCUACUUUGUUUUACAACUGUUAUUGUGGUCUCUGUAGGCACCUAAUGCCGUUACUGUUGUGCUUACUUACUAUUCUCUCGCUACUGGAAUGAGUAGUACGCACACCAGGAAAGACAACGACGCGAUCAACAAGCAAUUCGAGAAAUAUAUGUAUUUACGUACAAUAUACACAAUGCAUAGUUCAUACAUGUCAUGAGACAUGCACACAUGUGCGCAGAGAUAGAUACACAGCUGCUUGUAACUUUUUCGAUCAAUUCUCUACCUAUUUUUUUUUUUAAUAGAAUUGAAGAAAAACAGUGAGAUUUUCGAUAAUCAGCAGUUUUUCUUUUUUUUCUCCCACUUUAUUUCUCUUUGGUUUUUUUUUCUUUUUUGAUUUAUACAAUAAUUUAUAUUAUUACUAUUAAAAGGAAAUAAUCGCUUGAGUGUUCAUUGACCCGUUCGCUCGUACUCUCCCCAUUGCGGAAUAUACUUAAGAGACAUGUGAGAUUUACACAUCAGCACAAACGUGCGGCUCACACGCACACCGACGCUCAUCCCUGAGAAAGAGAGAAGGAGAGAAAAAGAGUGCACGCAAGUACACGCAUGUAGCCGUACACGUACACACAUAUAUAUAUAUAAUAUAUAUAUAUAUAUAUCUAUAUAUAUAUG